rnacentral:rRNA from 1 species
UAACAUGUUGAACCGCAUGGUUCAACAGUGAAAGACGGUCUUGCUGUCACUUAUAGAUGGAUCCGCGCCGCAUUAGCUAGUUGGUAAGGUAACGGCUUACCAAGGCAACGAUGCGUAGCCGACCUGAGAGGGUGAUCGGCCACACUGGAACUGAGACACGGUCCAGACUCCUACGGGAGGCAGCAGUAGGGAAUCUUCCGCAAUGGGCGAAAGCCUGACGGAGCAACGCCGCGUGAGUGAUGAAGGUCUUCGGAUCGUAAAACUCUGUUAUUAGGGAAGAACAAAUGUGUAAGUAACUAUGCACGUCUUGACGGUACCUAAUCAGAAAGCCACGGCUAACUACGUGCCAGCAGCCGCGGUAAUACGUAGGUGGCAAGCGUUAUCCGGAAUUAUUGGGCGUAAAGCGCGCGUAGGCGGUUUUUUAAGUCUGAUGUGAAAGCCCACGGCUCAACCGUGGAGGGUCAUUGGAAACUGGAAAACUUGAGUGCAGAAGAGGAAAGUGGAA